CCGGAGCGGCCGCGGCCGGGGGGGCGCCCAGCCCGGCGGCCGCCGCCUCGCCGCUGGGCUCGGCCAGGUCCAGGAAGGCCUGGCGCAGCAGGCCGGGGCUGUCGCCCAGGGAGCAGCUGAGGGCGCUGGGCGGCUGCGGCGGCGGCUGCAGGAUGAAUCUGGAUCGCCAUUCCUGAGACCCAAAUAUUUCCUAAAUAGAAGAAGCUUUCAUUAGACGGGUGGCCUUCAGGACUGCUGAACAAACCUAGACACGUUCAAACAUGACAGGAACCGAGCUUGUCACCUCGGAUGGAUCACAUACAAUAUCUCCGGCGGAGCGAUAGUUACUUAAUAGGCAAUGAGAGACAACAGUUAUACCUGGUUCCCCUACACAAACUCUUCAAAUAGCUCCCUCACUGACCAGCUAAGAUUCUUAUCCUCUCAGCUACUAUGCUGACUUUUACACAGCCAUAGACACGGAUCUGAAUGAGAUUAAGUCCCGCUAGACUUUCCUGGUACGAUUUUUCAAGGGUUUUGUGAACCAGGCGUUGUUUAAACCAGUGGAAAUGAUUUAGAAAUCAUUUCCCCAAUCUUCCCCCUUCUCUCCUCCCCUGCCACAGAGGGGGUUGGGGGGGGGGAAGUCAUAUAUCAAUACUGGUGAAAGAUGUCAAUAAGAUUAAAAAAGACAAUUGGAAGAAAGUAAAAGUUUUACUCAAGCAAACAUCCUAUAAAAGGUCCCUAGCACCCUCCCUUUCCCCAAUUAAUUUAAUGUAUAACCUGCCUGUCCCUCCCCACUACACCCAUACACACACCCUGAACUUUAUGCAGAAAACCUGACCGGAGCUAACAUUGACCCGAACAGGCAGCGAGGAUGAAAUAUUUACCUCCUCAAUCACGGUGUUCUUUACAUGUGUGUCCUCCUGACCGGCUU